rnacentral:rRNA from 1 species
AUUGAACGCUGGCGGCAGGCCUAACACAUGCAAGUCGAACGGUAACAGGGAUCAGCUUGCUGAUUCGCUGACGAGUGGCGGACGGGUGAGUAAUGUCUGGGAAACUGCCUGAUGGAGGGGGAUAACUACUGGAAACGGUAGCUAAUACCGCAUAACGUCGCAAGACCAAAGAGGGGGACCUUUGGGCCUCUUGCCAUCGGAUGUGCCCAGAUGGGAUUAGCUAGUAGGUGGGGUAACGGCUCACCUAGGCGACGAUCCCUAGCUGGUCUGAGAGGAUGACCAGCCACACUGGAACUGAGACACGGUCCAGACUCCUACGGGAGGCAGCAGUGGGGAAUAUUGCACAAUGGGCGCAAGCCUGAUGCAGCCAUGCCGCGUGUAUGAAGAAGGCCUUCGGGUUGUAAAGUACUUUCAGCGGGGAGGAAGGGAGUAAAGUUAAUACCUUUGCUCAUUGACGUUACCCGCAGAAGAAGCACCGGCUAACUCCGUG